rnacentral:rRNA from 1 species
UACGUAGGGUGCGAGCGUUAAUCGGAAUUACUGGGCGUAAAGCGUGCGCAGGCGGUUUGCUAAGACCGAUGUGAAAUCCCCGGGCUUAACCUGGGAACUGCAUUGGUGACUGGCAGGCUAGAGUAUGGCAGAGGGGGGGUAGAAUUCCACGUGUAGCAGUGAAAUGCGUAGAGAUGUGGAGGAAUACCGAUGGCGAAGGCAGCCCCCUGGGCCAAUACUGACGCUCAUGCACGAAAGCGUGGGGAGCAAACGAGG